CAAAAAGUGAAAAAGGCCUUUUAGGAAGGAUCUCCAGGAAUCCUGUGGGGAGAGGCUGGUGCUGGGGGAAGACAGAGGAAUGCCUGGAGAGGACAGAAGUGAGACUACACCUGUUGGUCUGGAUUGCAGCUGGAAUUGGAAGGGAAAUGCAUUUCCAUUGAAGGAAGAAGUGUAACAGUGAGCAGGCAGGUGUCAGCGGAUCUCAAGAGAAUAAUGUCAACUGGACAAUGGCUUAGAGGCAGGAGGAGGCAGAUCAGCUAGGCAGAUGUGCAGAAGUUAAGUGUGGUUUCAUGCAGAAACUUCCAAAUGGAUUCAAGAGCCAAAGCCUUCAAGAAGUUGGUGUCAUUGUCACUUGGAAUAUGUUUGUAUUAAUACAGGUAGAAUAUGUUAAUAAACCAUAUUCUUAUCAAGAAUCUUCCAUUUACAGCCCUUAUUUUCUCCCUUUAUUUUUGCCCUUUCUUUUCUGCCUGGCUGUUUAACUCCUGGAUAUCUGAU
rnacentral:lncRNA from 1 species